CGGAUCUCUCCAGCGCAGCAGUAGUUUGUACAUUCCUGGAAGCAGCAGAGUGUGCACGCAGCCACGAGGAGAUACUAACUCUCAGAAUACGCAGUUCUUCCAUCCUGAGUGACUAAUGCACAUUUAUUAUUCAAGUUUUAGCAUUUAUUCAGUGUAAGUUAUGACUUGCUGAACAUGCUGACCGUUAUAGAUCACUACAAUAUUCGGCAUAACAAGUUGGUCCUAAUAUCAAAUUGUAUCUCAUUGUUACACUGCUGGGGAAGCGAAAUUUGGAAAUGUGGGAGGAACAACUCUGUUGAAACCAUUCA
ensembl:lncRNA